rnacentral:rRNA from 1 species
GACGAACGCUGGCGGCGUGCCUAAUACAUGCAAGUUGAGCGCUGAAGGUUGGUACUUGUACCAACUGGAUGAGUAGCGAACGGGUGAGUAACGCGUGGGGAAUCUGCCUUUGAGCGGGGGACAACAUUUGGAAACGAAUGCUAAUACCGCAUAAAAACUUUAAACACAAGUUUUAAGUUUGAAAGAUGCAAUUGCAUCACUCAAAGAUGAUCCCGCGUUGUAUUAGCUAGUUGGUGAGGUAAAGGCUCACCAAGGCGAUGAUACAUAGCCGACCUGAGAGGGUGAUCGGCCACAUUGGGACUGAGACACGGCCCAAACUCCUACGGGAGGCAGCAGUAGGGAAUCUUCGGCAAUAGACGAAAGUCUGACCGAGCAACGCCGCGUGAGUGAAGAAGGUUUUCGGAUCGUAAAACUCUGUUGGUAGAGAAGAACGUUGGUGAGAGUGGAAAGCUCAUCAAGUGACGGUAACUACCCAGAAAGGGACGGCUAACUACGUG